GGGUUGUGAGGUUAAGCGACUAAGCGUACACGGUGGAUGCCCUGGCAGUCAGAGGCGAUGAAGGACGUGCUAAUCUGCGAAAAGCGCCGGCGAGGUGAUAUGAACCUUUGACCCGGCGAUGUCCGAAUGGGGAAACCCAGUGCAAUUCGUUGCACUAUCGUUAACUGAAUACAUAGGUUAACGAGGCGAACCGGGGGAACUGAAACAUCUAAGUACCCCGAGGAAAAGAAAUCAACCGAGAUUCCCCCAGUAGCGGCGAGCGAACGGGGAGGAGCCCAGAGUCUGAAUCAGCGUGUGUGUUAGUGGAACGGUCUGGAAAGUCCGGCGAUACAGGGUGACAGCCCCGUACACGAAAGCACACAUGCUGUGAACUCGAAGAGUAGGGCGGGACACGUGGUAUCCUGUCUGAAUAUGGGGGGACCAUCCUCCAAGGCUAAAUACUCCUGACUGACCGAUAGUGAACCAGUACCGUGAGGGAAAGGCGAAAAGAACCCCGGCGAGGGGAGUGAAAAAGAACCUGAAACCGUGUACGUACAAGCAGUGGGAGCACCCUUCGGGGUGUGACUGCGUACCUUUUGUAUAAUGGGUCAGCGACUUAUAUUCUGUAGCAAGGUUAACCGAAUAGGGGAGCCGAAGGGAAACCGAGUCUUAACUGGGCGUUAAGUUGCAGGGUAUAGACCCGAAACCCGGUGAUCUAGCCAUGGGCAGGUUGAAGGUUGGGUAACACUAACUGGAGGACCGAACCGACUAAUGUUGAAAAAUUAGCGGAUGACCUGUGGCUGGGGGUGAAAGGCCAAUCAAACCGGGAGAUAGCUGGUUCUCCCCGAAAGCUAUUUAGGUAGCGCCUCGUGAACUCAUCUUCGGGGGUAGAGCACUGUUUCGGCUAGGGGGUCAUCCCGACUUACCAACCCGAUGCAAACUGCGAAUACCGAAGAAUGUUAUCACGGGAGACACACGGCGGGUGCUAACGUCCGUCGUGAAGAGGGAAACAACCCAGACCGCCAGCUAAGGUCCCAAAGUCAUGGUUAAGUGGGAAACGAUGUGGGAAGGCCCAGACAGCCAGGAUGUUGGCUUAGAAGCAGCCAUCAUUUAAAGAAAGCGUAAUAGCUCACUGGUCGAGUCGGCCUGCGCGGAAGAUGUAACGGGGCUAAACCAUGCACCGAAGCUGCGGCAGCGA
rnacentral:rRNA from 1 species